rnacentral:misc_RNA from 1 species
AAUUGACCGCUUGGUGCAGCACUUUGUUCAGCAUCGCUAAAUCUAAGAAGUAAACACUGUGUUCCCUUCUGAUCGUAACAGGUUUCUGCGAUAAUUUAUUGAUAAGUAAUCUGAUUAAUGAAAUAAAUAUGCAUACAAUAUGCAAAUAGAUUAUUUCUGAAUACUUUUUCAACGCUAACUCUGUUCAGUUUUUUCAGUCUCAUCACGUUCUUGCUUAUUUGCAAUGCAUGCGUGAGUAAACCAAUCGCACCGCAGAGAAUUUGAAUUUAAAAGCGAGCUGAAGCAGUCGUCAUUUCGAAUGACAGUUGCGAUCUGCGAAGUAGCGGGUAAUGAGACUGCAAAGACGCAAAAAUUAAUGUAAGGACGAAGUAGCCACGCAUUUAAUUUUUUGUGCUGCUUCGUUCUAAAUAUCGCUAAAGUAAAAAUGUCGAACAGUAUUAAAGUGGGUAUUAAAUUGAGACCUUUAAAUGAACAGGAAAAAAAUGAUAAUUUAUCAAUACGAUGGAUCGUACAAGGAAAUAAUGUUGUUUCCUUGGAUCUGGAAACCAGAAAACUCGGGGAUAAUAAAUUUCAAUUUGAUUACAUUUUUGAUACGAAUACAACCAAUUCCAUUGUAUUCAAUAGUAUUGUGAAACCUAUCGUUGAUGGUGCUAUAGAUGGUUUUAAUGGCAUAAUAUUUUCUUAUGGUCAAAGUAAUUCAGGUAAAACAUAUACCAUGUUAGGUGCUUUAGAAGAACCAGGAAUAAUACCUCAUACAAUUAAUUACAUAUUUCAUGCUAUUUCAAAUAUGAGUGGACGUCAAUUUUUGUUAAGGGUAUCUUAUUUAGAAAUUUACGAUGAAAAAAUACAUGACCUUUUAAGUGAAACUGAUAUCGAUUUAAAAUUACAUGAUAGCGAACAAAUAAUCAUUAACUGUAAAGAAGAAAUUACAAACUCUGCAAAUAAUAUGUUGUCUAUUAUGAAAAGAGGAAUAAAGAAUAAAAAGAUGAAAGAAACUAAUGGAACUGAAUAUAAUAGAAGUCAUAGUGUAUUUCGGAUUACAAUUGAAAGUCAAGAAAUUGAAGCAGACUCAAAACAUUGUGUACUAGUAUCGCAGUUAAAUUUAGUAGAUCUUGCUGGUUUUGUAAAGAUUCAUCAUAAUGAUCUUAUUGAAGAACAUCGAAUUGAUGCAUCAGUUGCUACUUUAGAAUCGCUAAUUAUACAAUUGACUCGAACACAAGCUGUUCAGAAACAAACUGAUUAUAAUAAUACUAAUGUAACAGAAUUGUUACAGUCAUCGUUAGGUGCUAAUGCUUUAACAGCAUUAAUAUGUACUGUAACACCUGUUGCUUUGGAUGAGACAUACUACACUCUAUCACUUGCAUCUCAAGCCAAAAAUAUUAAAAUUAUGCCACAAAGAUGCAUGAGGUCUGAUACAUCACUUCUAUUAAAUCACACAAAACAAUUAAUUAAACUUCAAACAGAACUAAAGAAAAUAAGAAAUGAAAAUUCUAUAGAGUGUGAAGAAGUAGAAUCUAAUAAUUUACAAGAGAAACAUCACAUUAAUUCCUUGUUAGAACGUAUAAAAUUAUUAAAGACUCAAAUUAUUACUGGCUGUACGAAAAAUUGUGAAGAAUCAUCUAAACAUAAAUCUAGAAGAAUACCCAAACUAUAUUUACCUACGCUUCCUACUAUAAUUGGCUUACCUACAAUAAAAGAAAUGUCACCGGAAAAACCGUGCCGAAAAAGCAUUAGAGAAUCAGGUGAUCUUAUGAAUCAGACAUUUGAAACAACCUUCGCAGAUUUUGAGACGGAAUUACUUAAGAAUAAAUUAAGUCGUGAAACCAAAGAAAAUGGAAAUUGUACCGAAGAAAGAUGCAUUGAAUGUACAGAAAAUGGUUUUGGUAUUACAUCUUCGAAUAAUAGUUCCUCUGUAACACCUGAAAAGCAAAAUCUUUCGGUACAACCCUUAAGCACACCAAAGAACGUUUUACGGAAGUAUAUUUCAGAUUUGACAAAAGAUCUUACGGAGCUUCGUGAAUUUACAACCUUAGAGAAACAAUUGAUGUGUGAAACAAAUUAUUGCGACGUACAUAAUGUAGAAACACGCGAGACCAAAGCUGGAGGGACUGACGACUCAUCCUCAAAUCUAAUAAUACAAUUAGCAGAAGACAAGGUUAAAUUAACAGAAGAAUUAGAAUUAAAAAUUCAAGAACUUGAUGGAAUUAAAAAUGAUAUUCAAAGUUUUAGAUUAGAUAUCGAACAAUUACAAAAGACUAUUUAUUUACUGACACGUGAAAACGCAGAAUUGUCAAAUAAAUUAAUUGCUGAAAAAGAACAUUCCAAACAAACUGAACUGGAUUUGAAGAACACAAUCGAGGUACUUCAUACACGUAUUUCGAAUAUCACAGCCGAAAAAAUAAAUUCAGAAAAUGAUUUAAUAAUUAUGAGUCAAAAAUUACAAAAUGCACAUUUAAAAACUUCGGAAGUAUGCAGCGAUGAAGAGUUAAUGACCAAAUAUCAAAAAAGAAUUGAUGCAUUGAAAACAGAAAACAUUGAAUUGUCAUCUAUCAUUGCAGAGAAAGAUAAAGAACUUGAAACUAUUAAAGAAAGUAAAUCGCUUUUGUAUGAUCAUGAAUGUAUGUACAAGGACAAAGUUGCAGCUCUUACAGAAAAUAGUAAAUUCUUAAUUCUGGAAAAUAGCGAGCUCUCUACGGACUUAAUGGAUAAGAUCGAAGAAAAUGAAAUGUUAAAAAAGGAAUGUGACGUUUUGAGAAGUAAACUAUCUGCAAUGGGAGAAGUGAAUUCUGAUGAAGAUGACACAGAGCGAUUAAGAUCAGCGAAUAAACUUUUGAAAGCUGAGAUUGUAGAAUUAAAAAUGAAAAUAACAAUGUUAACGGAUGAGAAUACAAAGUUUUCGAAUAAUUUAUUGGAAACUAUAGAAGACCUUGAAAAUUCACGGAGUGAAAAACAAGACAAUAGCUCAUUAUAUUUAUCCACGGCAUCUGACUAUAAAAAUAGUUUUAUACAAUUAAAUGGACCUAAACAACUAUCCCAAAAUGAAAGUAGCGAGAUAUUAGCAAAUAGAGUUGUUAUGUUACAGGAAAAGAUCAAUCAUUUGACUCACUUAAAUAAAAAAUUAAGCGACUUAAAAUUAUCAUCUUGCAAUCAGUGUGCUCAUUUGAAGAAUUUGAACGAGAGCCGUAGGGCUUUGAAACUUGAAGCGACACUUUUAAAUCAUAAAUUGGAGGACUUGCAAAGAAAAUUUGAUCAAAAAUGUGCUGAUACAGAAGCUUUGAAAAUUAAAGUAAAUCAGGAGUUGAAUUUAAGUUUUGGCGAUACGUCUUUCAAUACUACUUUUUCGGAGGGAAUGAAUGUAACUUUCGUAGAAGAAAAAGUUCAACAUUUAAGCAGUGAAUUACAAGCAUUGAAGGAUAACCAUGACAAAUUGUCAGUGCUGUACAAAGAGAAGUGCGAUGAGCUCGAAAAACUACAUGAUGAAGUAGUGGAUACAAAAAAUACUGAUAGUGGCUCGAAACCAAAGAAGUCUGUACUUAAAACUGAGAAUAGAAUCGAAAGAAUCCAAAAGAGUAUUGACUUAGUCAAGGACGACAUAGAUGAAUUAAAGAAAAAUAGCAUGAACUUUACUUCUGUACUUAAUAAAUUUAGGACAGAAAAAGCGAAACUACUCGAUGAAAUUAGUACAUUAAAGAGAAUCAAUGAAGAAUUACAGCAGAAGGUGUCUGAUAAUGAAAUAUCAGCAGCCAUAGCUACAGAGAAAGCACAACUUCUUGAAAGUGAAAUGGUAAAUAUGAGCAAAGAAAUUGAACAAUUCUCUGCACUUGAAAAAACGAUAAAAAGCGAAAAGCUGGUACUGGAAGUGGAAUUGGAAGAUUUGAAAGUUGAAAAAGAAAAUAAAGAUAUUCUUAUCAUAGAAUUACAUAAAACGAUCGAUGACUUAAACGAAUCUAUUUCAUCAUUAAAAACUGAAUUGAACUUGAUGACUAAUCAAAAGAACGAAUUAACUAUUUCCACGGAAUUGAUUAAACGUAAGUAUCAAAAUGAGCUGGAAUCGUUUAGAAAACACUAUGAAGAACUAGAGAAAGAAAAUGCAAAAAGUACAGAAGCUGAGAAACUUGCAGCAUUAAAGGUAAAAGAAUUGGAGUCAGACGUAGAAAAGCUUCAAGCAGAUUUGACAAAACAAGAAGAUCUGUGCAAAGAACUUCAACGAAAAAUAUGUCAGUUAGAAAAUCUAUUACAAGAGAACGAAAAUGAAAAAGAAGCACUGAAGGAAAAGCUGCAAACACUUGAAGGUAAAUUGAUUGAUUCUGAAAAUGAGUUAGUGACUAAGUAUAAAAAUGAAUUUGAAAGCUUAACAAUGAAGUUUGAGGAAUACACCAAAGAGUCUGAAAUUAAAUUAAACAAAAUUAAUGAAACGUUGAACGAGUAUGCUACUGAAAAUGAUAAUUUAAAACAGAAACUUGAAAAGCUUCAAGAUAUUGAAUUAAAAUUCAAUGAAAUAAAGAACAAAGGAAAAGAUAUAUUAAACAAAGAGAAACUUUUGUGUAGUGAUAAUAAAAAAUUGAAAGAAGAAUUGGAUACUGUCAAAGAAUGUAUGGUCAAUGAAUUGAAGUCGCUCAAGAAUAAAAUAAAUUCCACAGAUAUUUUGAACAAAACUGCAAAUGAAAUUUUUAUAAUGUUCCUGCAAGCAGUUAUGUCCAAAGAAGAAGAAAUAAUUAAAACAAUGAGAGAAUCAUUUGAGAAAGAUAAACAACAAUUGGAGGAUGAAAAACAACAAAGUGCAGAUGCAGAGAAACGCAUGACACUAUGGAUGAAAGAACUUGAAUCAGAAACUGAAAAAUUACAAAAGGAUUUAACGAAACGGGAAACUUUAUGUUCGGAACAGCAAAGUAAAAUUUGUCGUUUGGAACAUCUUCUAAGUGAAAAUAACUAUGAGAAAGAGAUACUUAAAGAAAAAAUAGAAGCACUCGAAAGUGAUUUGGGUAAUUUGCAAACGGAACUAGACAAGCAAAGUACUGUGGAUAUUCAACAAAAAGAAGAAGAAAUUAUUAGUGCCCAAAAAAGAGAAAAGAAGAUACAAGAAAUUUAUAAGAAGAAGGAACUUGAAAUUCUUUCUAAAAUGAAAUUUGAGAAAGAAUUGUACGAGAAAAGAAUAGAAGAUCUUAAUUGUAUUAUAGAAACCUAUAAAACAACAAAUUUGGAAUUGAAGAAUAAUAUUGAAGGUCUUGAAGCAAAUGAAAAACAGCUUAAGAAUAUUAUAGAUGCAAAUUCUUCUGAAUUAAAACAGAACAAUCAACGAAUAAAGGAAUUAAAUUUUGAUUUCGAACAACUUACAGAAGCUUACAAUGAAGUAAAUCAGGAACUUAAACAGAAAACAUCACAAAUUGAAAACAUUACAGCACUCUUAAAACAUAAGUGUGACAUGCUGUCUGAAUACAAAACUAAACUUGAAAUUGUCAUGCCAGAUUAUGAAAUGUUGAAAAAUCAAGUUAAAGAGCGAAAAGAAUGUAUAGAACGCUAUAAAGAAGAAAUAGAAGAACUUAAAAUGGAGAAGGAAAAACAAAUUGAAAUAAUUAAAGACAAAUUAAAUUCUGAAGAGAUAAAAAAUGUAGGAUUAAAUAAGCAACUGAACGAAUUGAAUAACAGGAGCAUAGCUUUGGUAGAGGAAUUAGAUAAUCUGAAGGAAAAAUAUGAAGAAUUGCAACAUGCAAAUACAAAAUUGGAAAGAAAGAUCAGAAAUAGUACAAGUAAACUAAAAGCUGAAGCAGAAAUGGAGGAAUUAAGAGACAUAAAUAAAACAUUAAAAAAUAAUUUAGAAGGAGCCAGUAAUCGCAUAACUGAGAUGCAAGAAAAUAAAAAUAAAAUUUUGAAAGAAUUAGUCAAUUUGAAAGGUCAAUAUGAAGUAUUGUUGCAAGAAAAUGUUGAACUGAAGAAAACACUCUCAUCGUACAAACAAAACAUUCCAUAUUUAUCCCUGGAAGAAUAUGAUUCUCUUCUUCAAGAAAAGAAUAAAAUAGCAUUAGAAUUAGAAGGUAAAAAGUUAUUAUUGAAUCAAAGAGAGAAAGAGAUAAAAUCACACAUGAGUCAAAUAAAAGAUUUAACUGUUAAAAACAGAGAUUUCGAAAACCAAUUGCAAAAAUAUACUACUAUCAUUAAUGAACGUGAUACAGAAAUUGCGGACUUGAAGAAUAGGCUGUAUGAUGAUCAAACAGGAAAUAAACUGGUUACUGAAUUAGAAGAAAAAUUGAAACUUUUGGAAGAAAGAAACAAGAAACUCGAGGAUCAACUGCAGUUAAAUAAUAAUGAAAAAGUGUUUCGCUUAUUAAGGAAAGAAAAUUCAGAAUUACAAAUUAAGCUUAAUGAAUAUGAGAAUAAAUUAGAUUUAAGAAGUAGUAGCAAUAGUUCAAGAUCAGUUAGUCCAGCCUUUGAAAAUACCAGAAGAAGGCAUAGCAGGAAUGAGAUAUUUAACCAGAGAAGACAAUUGGAAGAUGUUAUUUCUAAUAUAGAUAUCGAUGAAGAUGAAGAAACCUGUCAAAUAUUGAGGAAAAAGAUUCAAGAAUUAGAAUUACAAUUGGCAGCAAAAGAAGGUCAAAUUUCAGCUUUAGAAAUUCAGAUCCAAAGUGAAUAUUUCCCUUAUCAACAAAAAUGUAAGGAGCUUGAAAAAAAUUUGUUGGCAUAUCGUUUACGGAACACUGAACUUAAUUCUGAUGUACGACAACUUCAGAAAACUAUAACAGAUAUAAACGGAUGGGAAUGCGAUACUUGUAGACGGUGGCAAAUUAAUAAAAGAGACAAAGAUUGUCAAACAGAAAUUCGCAAUCUCAGUAAUGGAAUAAUUGAUGAUCAUGCAAAGAUAAUGAAAUUAAAGAAAGAAAAAGGAUUAUUAAAAGAUAUGUGCAUUUCACGAUGUCGACGAAUAAAAGAAUUAGAGGAGAAAGUAAAAGAAUUGGAAGAGCUGCAGAAUACACCGGCUUUAAAAUCUGCUGAAUCUUUACAAGACAAGCAAUGCGCUUCCUUGAUGUAUUUUAAAAAAUCAUUUGACUUGGAGAAGAAUGUGAAACCGUGAGAAACACAUUUCUUGAAACAUAUUUGGCUUAAAACUAUGCUAUCAAGAUUAAAUUUCUUUUUACUGAUGCUUAACUGCUAAACUGUAAUUAACUACAGGAAUGAAAGCUUCCGUACUAUAUCUUUAUUAAUGUGUGCAAUGUAGAGCAACUAUUAUGAUUUAACGAUGUUAAAUUUAAUUAUAAAAGAGAUGAAAGAAAACGUUCCAUCGACGUUAGUAGAACUAACAAAUUUUUCAAAUUAUAGACGAAGCAUACGGAAUAAAUACUGAAGAUAGU